rnacentral:rRNA from 1 species
AUUGAACGCUGGCGGCAUGCCUAACACAUGCAAGUCGAACGAGUGGCGGACGUGUUAGUAAUGUCUGGGCAACUUCCUGAUGGAUAGGGAUAACUACUGGAAACUGUAGCUAAUACCGAAUACAAUCAGCUGUGCCCCGAUGGGAAUAGCUAGUUGGUGGGGUACCGGCUCACCAAGGCGACGAUCCCUUGCUGGGCUGAGAGGAUGACCAGCCACACGGGGACUGAGACACGGUCCAGACUCCUACGGGAGGCAGCAGUGGGGAAUAUUGCACAAUGGGCGCAAGCCUGAUGCAGCCAUGCCGCGUGUAUGAUGAAGGCCUUCGGGUUGUAAAGUACUUUCAGCGGGAAGGCGUUACCCGCAGAAGAAGCACCGGCUAACUCCGUGCCAGCAGCCGCGGUAAUAC